UUGGCUUCGUGUUUGCUGAUGUAUAGAAUGUCAUCCACGUAAACUAGGAUGUAUUCUGAAACACCACCUGGAGCUGCUGUGACCACUCUAGGAUAUUGCCCCCAUCCAUCCUCAACUUGGGAAAGUCUACUGGCGGAAGAGCGCAUGCGCGAAGUCCAUUUCAGCUCCGCCGUCGCCGAGGAAGGACCUGUUCAUCGCGGCUCCG